rnacentral:lncRNA from 1 species
GGGCGUAAAAGUUUGUCUCAGCUCGAGCAUUCCUAGCGCCAACACGCCCUCAGGUAAAGGUGGAAGUAAAUGGCCACGCUGUAUUGACAGAGGUAGAUGAAACUCAAGAGAAAAGGUGUGGAUAAAUGAAACUAGCCCAUGAUGAACCUGUUUUCUCCGUGACCACAAUAUUAACCAGGAUGAAUGGCGGUGGCAGUGGGCCUGCAUCACAGGUUGCAGCAGAUGUUCUCAAUAUUUCUAUUAAAAUUUCCUUAUUUCCAUAUGCAAGAGGAGCCCCAGAGCUGCAUCCUUAUGGUAGCUACCAUGCCGUGAUGUAAGCUGCCAUUCACUGGGGAGCUUUGGCAAUAGAAUUGGCUAGAUCAGGAAGCCUAUGUCAACUAUGGAACAACAACUUGCAGCUCAUCUCUAUUGAUGGUGAAACAGUCGCAAAUGGAAUUCCAAGAAACAUUCUAUAUACACUGCCUCUAGGACUGGGACAGAUAGCCACUGAGUACCUGCUUCAAAUCACCCUGCACGUUUUCUCUUUGGAAAGAUAAGCACUGGAGAACCAUCUCGUUACCUUCAGCAGAAAUGGAAACAAAUCAAGACAUUAAGAAUGCCGCAGUGGACAGCAGUUAUGCAAGGUUCAGCAGAGGAAGUUUUCAAGAUGGUGUGCCUCACUAGCCAGAAAUCAGAAAAGAUCGAAGCUAGCCUUUUCAUCUCAGCUGCUCCUUAAAUCAGUGCAACCCCUCCAAAUUAAUGUGAAUUGAAACUUGCAUUGCUUUUCAACUUAAUUGAAUACUUACUAUAUGUGAACCACUGCACAAAAUAGGGGAAGAAGAUGUGGGAGACAAAGAUGUGGAGCCUGUCUUCAAUAAAUUUACAGUUAGUUUCAGGGUACAUUGUUUUUCUUCUGCUGUUAAUUAGGUGUAUCCCCAAGACAAUAAAUACAUGAAUGGAAAAGUAUAUUCUGUGUUUUAAGUCUCUUUAAUAAAAAACAAAACAAAAUCCAAAAAAACUCCUAACAUGGCAACUCAGGACAUUUUAAUCCUUUUUUUUGUUGUUGGGCUUCUGAUAGGAUCCAUUUUAUUGAUUCCAUAAAUAUUUAGUAGACUUUAGACAUAUUAAUACAUUGUAGUUUGAGUUAAUUUGCAUUAAAUUCUGUUUUUUUCCCCUUAGGUAUAGAUUGUCUGUUGGAAAAAUAUAUUGCUUGUGGAUUUCUUGGGGAGUGGGAAGGUGAAUUAUACCUGUUGUCUCUACAGUCCACUACCUUCCACACCCUAGGGCAGUGGUCCCCAACCUUCUUGGCACCAGGGAUCAGUUUCCUGGAAGACAAUUUUUCUGUGGAUGGUGUGGGGAUGGUUUUGGGAUGGAACUGUUCCACCUCAGAUCAUCAGGCAUUAGUUAGGCUCUCAUAACGAGUGCGCAGCCUAGAUCCCUCACAUGCACAGUUCACAGUAGGGUUUGCGCUGCUAUGAGAAUCUAAGGCUGCCACUGAUCUGACAGGAGGCAGAACUCAGGUGGCAAUGCUUACUGGCCCACUGCUCACCUCUUGCUGUGCGGCCUGGUUCCUAAUAGGCCAUGGACCCCCACAGACGGGUACUAGUCUGCAGCCUGUGGACCCCAGCCCUAGGGGCCUGCCAUUCUGAGUGAGUUAUUAGCAUGAAGAAGAGGAAGAUCUGGAUCAAACGUGGGUGAUGGUACUCAGAGACCCAAGAUAGGAUAGGGAUGGAACAAAAUCCAUCUGGGCAACGGCUCUAUGAAAAUUUGGCUAAGUAAUUAUUUCAGUAUUCAUUGUAUUCAUUGUCCUUCGUGUUCCAUAAGUUAAAUGACUGUCUAAUUUUUCCAAAAAUUUAUUUCUGACUUGAGAAUAAGUGUGUCAUGAUUUUCCCAGUGUAAAGACACUGAUAUAACUGUAGAUACCAGACAUUUUAUGUAGUGUCUAUGACACAUUUUAGUAUGUAUGAGCCAACAAUAGACAUGUCUUUGUCUUGAGGAGUGUCCAUCUGAAUUGAAAAUGUGUCAGCUUUUUUUUAACAUCAUCAACAGACUUCUUAAUUAAGCUGCCAAUACAUACUGCCAAUAGCACUGUGUGCUGUCUGAGAAAUGCAUUGUGUAAGUGCUAUUUCCAUCUUAUUAAAUAAACAAUGUUGCUCUGUAUAAACUGGAUUUAAAGUGUUCUUUGAAUGAGGCAUUAUAUUGCUCCAUAAAUAAUGUGAUGUGAAUUCUCAUAUGAUCCCUUUUAACUUAAUUUCUAAAAAAAUAUUAUUUGCUCCUCAGUAAGGAAUAGCUCUAAUUGGACUGGUAACUUUAGUGAUAUGAUUUGUCUGUAACAGGCUGAAUCGCCCCACUCCCAAACUCCUGGUCGUGAUACUGGAUAUUUGUUAUGCCACUUUUAGUUUGCAUGAGGUAUCUUCCAGGAAGUAUUAGUUAUUAACUUGUGUUCUACUAAACUGUAGAUAUUUAUUUCCUGUUCUGGAAGAUUUCUUGGAGUGUCCAUCUGUGCAUUCCUGGUGCCUAGUGUAGUCUUGCUAAUGGAAUAGCACCUUUAUUGGUGCUACUUAGGGGUUGGUAGCUUACAAUCAAUCUACUUGGAACGUAUCCAAA